rnacentral:rRNA from 1 species
CGCUCUACACCCUUUGUGACAUACCUAACU